rnacentral:rRNA from 1 species
GGGUCGUAAGGGCGCAUAUGCGGUUCGGGAGUCUUGUGUGAGAUCUUCUGGCUCACUCACAGUCUGCACUAGAAACUGCCGGGCUUGAGUGUGGGAGAGGUGAGUGGAAUUUCCGGUGUAACGGUGACUGCUACUUUGUCGGAUUGAACACCUGUGGCCAAGGCGGUUCACUGGACCAUUACUGAGGCUGAAGCAAAUAAGCUAUGUGAUUCUCAGGAUUAGAUACCCUGGAUCUCCUAACCCAAAACGAUGAUCGGUUGGUGUGACUGGUACCCAAUCCCGCCAUGCCAAAUCUAACGCUUUACUGAAUCCGCCUGGCGAGUACGGUCUUUGGGCUGAAACUUUUCAGAAUUGACGGGGGCCCGCACAGGGAUUGGAGCAUGUGGUUUAAUUCGACGCAACGCGAAGAACCUUACCUGGGCUCGAAAUGUAGUGGACUGGGGUAGAAAUAUCGCUUCCUAACCUUACGAUGCAAUAUAGGUGCUGCGUGCCUGUCGGCAUCUCGUGUCAUGAGAUGUUGUGUUAAGUCUUGCCACGAGCGCACCCCUUAGUACGAGUUGCCAUCAUUUAUUUGACUCCUCUGGUGAGACCUCCUCAGAUCACGAGAAGGAAGGGAGGGAUGACGUCAAGUCUCUUUGGUGAUUCUGUCCAUGGCUACGCACGUGCUAUCAUGGUUGGUGCAAUGCGUUGCAUGCUUAUGUCCGAGAGCUAAUCAGAAAAAACGGGCUCAAUUCUGAUGGCAGUCUGUGCUCGACUCCGACGACCUAGAAAUGACUAGUA